rnacentral:lncRNA from 1 species
GGCUAGAGCUGCUAAGAAACACCCUAAGACUGAAAGCAAAUCAGCCGGCAGCUUCAGCUCCUUCGCAAGCUGCUAGCUGCUCUCUUCGGAGUCAAUGUAAAGUCAUCAGAGUUCGACUGUGGACCGCAAGCUUCUCAGCCCUUCAGUCCCAGGGAUGGCCUGGGAUGUAAACACACACGAAGGUUUAUUCCUUUGGCCAGGAGGAAUUAGGGUAGGGAGUCGUUAGGGUAAAGGGUAAAGGUCAAGGGGGCUCGGAUGGGUGACUGAGGAGCCCACGGAAAGCUGGCAGAAGCCGAGUCUUCUAGAGCUGGGCUUUUGGCUCCGAAUCCUGCAGGCUUCCCACUUUACACAGACCUUUCAUCCCCUUCCUCCUUCUUCCUCCCUUGGGUCUCUCGCUCCCUCCAUCCCCACUUGCUUCCACGCCCAGGUGGGGGCUGCCUACUGAGGGUGGCCCAGGGGGUUUGCAGCUGGGGAGGUUGUCACCAAGGGUGGGCCGCCCGGGAGACGUGAGGCGAGGCAGCGAGCCCCGGCAUUUUCCUUUCCCCAGCACCUGUCCCACUUCGGCGCCGGGGCUGGGGCCGCUCCCGCGGGCGGCCUCGGAGCCUGAGCGCCAGAACCACGCACUGAGGUUGCCCAGGGUGGGGAAGUAGGGGGCCGGGAGAGGGGCGGGGCGUCCAGCCACCGCACGCAAGACCCUUCGCGUCCCCCCAACAUACACUGAGGCUAAACAGGGGGAAGAGAGUCACACAGAACACGGGCGAAAACGCUCGCUAUCCGACUCCAACGGCGCGUUGUUCGACCCCUCUUCCUGGAGCGGGGGGCUGGCCAAGGAAGGUGGCUUCGUUCUUCCCCCGUGGCCAGUGCGGGGUCUGCGGCUGACUGGCGAGGUUCCGGCUUCCCCGGGGCUGGCAGGGGGAGCCCCGAGAACUGCAGGCCCGCCCCCCCUUCCUCCUCCUUCUUCCCCUCCUCCCCCACGUGUCCUCCCGGAGCCCAGCGGCCUGAUCCCAGCACCCCCCCGCCACCUCCCUCCUCCUGCUUCGCCCGCUUCCCCGGCGGCGUGGAGAAGAGCAAAGUUGCAGCAGUGGCAGGGGGCUCUGCUCAGGGUCGGCUUGGCGAAGGACGGCUAGCCUCGGAGGGAAAGUAGACACCAGUUCAACUCAGGUCGCCCCCACCAUUACUUCGGUGAGGGGGCAACGCUAAGAAGGGGAUACUGGUGG